rnacentral:lncRNA from 1 species
UAUUAAUUGGACAUGCUCAACGGGAACCAAUAAGAUGGCCUGAGCCCGAACAGACUAGAGUGUGGAGAGCUGAUAUCAACAAGUUCUCUGUGCCGUAGCUCUAAGUGGAGCAUCCACUGGGGCUUAUUGUGAAAGUCUGUGAGUGCCUCCCAGCACCGACGACUGAAACUUGGCUCUCGAGAUUCCCAUUCCAGGGUAAUUACUAGCUUGCUAUCGGACCUUAAUUGAAACUGCCCCUAUGACUGAAAGCCAUAAAACAGCCUUCAGUCUAAAAUGCCUGUCAGGUCUUGGGUGAUGUCAGAAAAACACUCAUUGGGGAGGCCAGUGCCCAGAAAAGUUCCAUAAUGAAAUGGAAAUGGUUACAAAGGAUCAUGCUACUUCUGCAAUGCAAGGAUGAUGUACUUACAAGCAGGGAGCUUCUUUUCGCCUUGGACUGAUGUGUGAGGAGCUGCCAGAUUCUGUCAUCACUUGGACGGUGCCUUAUAAACAGCUCUCAACUGGCCAGCAAAGAGCAGCUUGGUUUAUUGUUGGCAGUUGUAAGGUAAACAGACAAUAUCCUCUUUGGAAGGCCACCAUCCUGGUCCAAGAAAGGUCAGCUGGGGGCUCUGUUCCACGUUACUCUCACUCUGGACACCAGGCUGACGUGAGAAACACCAACUGGAGUACCGCUGGUUGCUAUGGAGAGAGAAAGAAGUGGGAGAAUUUGUAUUGGCUCUUAAAAUAUCUGCUCCCAUGUCAUUGGUCAAAGCAGGUCCCGUUCCACAUCUAACUUCAAAGAGGAUAUGGAAGUAUACUCCCAUCACGUGUCUGGAAAGAAGGAAACAGGAUGUUUGUGAAGAGCCUGAGAAUACUACACGACUCUUUCAGUUGCAAAUGACAUAAACCAAAUUUUAAUUGGCCGAAGCAGAAAAGGGAAUUUGCUGACUCACGUAAGUGUAGGGGUUGUUUGGCUUCAAACACGGUUGGAUCUAGAUAGUCAAAGAUGUCUUCAGUGUUCCAUCUCUCUUCUGUCUGGUCCUUAUUCUCAGCUAGCAGCCUCCCAAGUCACGACAGAAAUAGCCAUCAGCAGUUUCACAAUUAUUUUCCAUCAACUAUAAAAGGGAGAGUCUCAGGGCAGUGUGGUGGCAUAGUGGCUGAGUUCGCACACUCCGCUUUGGCAGCCCGGGGUUCACUGGUUCGGAUCCUGGGCAUGGACCUACACACUGCUCAUCAAGCCAUGCUGAGGGAGCAUCCCACAUAGAAGAACUAGAAGGACUUACAAGUAGGAUAUACAACUAUGUACUGGGGCUUUGAGGAGAAAAGAAAAAAUUAUUUAAAAAAAAGGGAGAAUCUCUUCCCACUCUGUUCCACAAAAGUACCUGGAAUGAUUUCCAUUGGCCUAGAUUGAGUCACAUGUCCAUUCCUGGUCCACUCUCUCUGACUCUGAUUAGUCUGGCCUGAUUCAGGUGCCCAGGCUUUUGGAGCUGGGAAGUGAGUCAGCCCCACUUGAAAACUGUGGAUGGAUAAUGGGGGAGGGUUGUCUUCUCCAAAUGAAGAGAUGAUUCCAUUACUAGAAGAAGGGACACUGGGCAGGCCAAAACAAAAGAUAUUCAUCGUGUUCUCUCUUCCCUUUUGUGGUGGGUCAGAUGCACCCGUGAUGGAAUCCUGUUGGAAUGUGUGACCCCAGGCUUAUACCUGCUACCGCCCUUCAAUUUAUGCUCAAGGAAAGGCUAGGGCUUACUUCUCUGAGCAAGGUGUGGCGGGGAGGAGCUGCUUAGAAGUGGG